GGCAACCCUGACGGAGCAACGCCGCGUGUGGGAGGACGGCCUUCGGGUUGUAAACCACUUUUCUCAGGGAAGAAGCACUGACGGUACCUGAGGAAUAAGCCUCGGCUAACUCCGUGCCAGCAGCCGCGGUAAUACGGAGGAGGCAAGUGUUAUCCGGAAUCAUUGGGCGUAAAGCGUUCGUAGGCGGCUGUUCAAGUCUGCUGUCAAAGACCGAGGCUCAACCUCGGGUCGGCAGUGGAAACUGGAUAGCUAGAGGUCGGUAGGGGCAAAGGGAAUUCCCAGUGUAGCGGUGAAAUGCGUAGAGAUUGGGAAGAACACCGGUGGCGAAAGCGCUCUACUGGGUCGCACCUGACCCUCAGGGACGAAAGCUAAGGUAGCG
rnacentral:rRNA from 1 species